rnacentral:snoRNA from 2 species
AUCCCAUGAUGAGGACAGGCGGCCACAUACUCUUGAAGUCGUUCCCAUGCUUCAGGAAUGGCCUCGUCCCUUGUCUGCUGGAAACUAGAAAUCAUUCCAUGAAGGGC